GGCAAGAUGGCCGAGUGGUUAUGGCGUGUGACUCAAGGAACCUCCUUACUCAGCAGCUCAAGCUGAGGAGCAUUCUCAUGGGCUUUGCCCGCGGGGGUUCGAAUCCCCCUCUUGUCA